rnacentral:rRNA from 1 species
ACGAACGCUGGCGGCAUGCCUAACACAUGCAAGUCGAACGAGACCUUCGGGUCUAGUGGCGCACGGGUGCGUAACGCGUGGGAACCUGUCCUUAGGUUCGGAAUAACUCCCCGAAAGGGGUGCUAAUACCGGAUAAUGUCUUCGGACCAAAGAUUUAUCGCCUUUGGAUGGGCCCGCGUUGGAUUAGCUAGUUGGUAGGGUAAAAGCCUACCAAGGCGACGAUCCAUAGCUGGUCUGAGAGGAUGAUCAGCCACACUGGGACUGAGACACGGCCCAGACUCCUACGGGAGGCAGCAGUGGGGAAUAUUGGACAAUGGGCGAAAGCCUGAUCCAGCAAUGCCGCGUGAGUGAUGAAGGCCUUAGGGUUGUAAAGCUCUUUUACCCGGGAUGAUAAUGACAGUACCGGGAGAAUAAGCUCCGGCUAACUCCGUG